CAGAGGAAGGCUCAAGGAACACGGAAGGAAAACCAAGGUGAAGUCCUACAGCUGUGCCAUCAACACACACAGCGCGCCUUCCCAGACAAGCUGGAGAGAGCAAGGGCGCACCCUCAUCAGAUCUCAAAGGCGAGGAGAGGCAACUCCUGUGGCCGGCCUCGCUUGGCACUCCGGAAAGAAGAUGAAGAUAAACCUUAUGUGGUGGGCUUAGUUGGGGAUAGAGCCCCAAAGAUCGGAAGCUGCUACUGAGAAUAAUAUUCUGCCCUUGUCCUUACCAACUUGACUUCAGAGGAGGAACGGACUCAGAACAAGACAUCUCCAGAAGAAUUCAGUGGAUGGGAAGCAUCCUAACACAGGUGUUGAAACAUCACAAGUUAAAUCACCACUAAAAGAAGAAGGUAUCUAAGAAACUGUAAGAGCAAGAUAAGGAUUAACAAACAAUAAAAUGACAUGUCAUUUAGUAGAGGUGACCUAACUUUUAAAAAAAUGUCAAAACACAUGGAUAUUAAAUAUUAAUAAGCUGUUAUGUUAUUACAAUAAUAAGGUUAAGUAACCUUCUCCAUACUAAAAAGAAAGAGAAGAAAAACUAAGAAUAUUUGAAAAGAGACACAAAGAUGAAAAGCAAAGGCACACAGAAAAUAUGUCAACAAUAAACAAGAGGAAAUGAGAAAGAAGGAAAAGAUGAAGGUGGAAACUAAUCUCUCUGUGUCAUUAUGACUGCCAGAGUACUGGCAAAGAAGCAGCAUCCUUUUAUUUCAAUUUUAAUCAUUUUUGAAUUUUAAUACCCUGCUCCUUUUGUAAUUCUCCUGGCAUUCCCCAUAUGCAUCCACCCCAGCCAAAACACCAGUGUAAAUUAAAUGGCACACACACCACAUCACUGAUGUAGUUCUUCCA